CUCUCCGUAGUUUAGUGUGGUUUAGAGCGUCAGACUGUAAUAGGUGAAUCGAUUUGCUGUAUCUGAAAGUCGGGCGUUCGACUCGCCCCGGGGAGA